UACGUAGGGGGCAAGCGUUGUCCGGAAUCAUUGGGCGUAAAGAGCUCGUAGGCGGCUUGUCGCGUCGUUCGUGAAAACCUGCAGCUCAACUGCAGGCUUGCGGUCGAUACGGGCAGGCUGGAGUUCGGUAGGGGAGACUGGAAUUCCUGGUGUAGCGGUGAAAUGCGCAGAUAUCAGGAGGAACACCGGUGGCGAAGGCGGGUCUCUGGGCCGAUACUGACGCUGAGGAGCGAAAGCGUGGGGAGCGAACAGG
rnacentral:rRNA from 1 species